GACAGCGUGGUGUAGUGGUUUCAGCGUUGGGACUAUGACUCUGCAGACCAGGGUUCAAAUCCUGGCUUAGCCA